CCUAGUAUCUCAGAAAUUGAACUCUUGAAAGAAUCACGAUUUGGGUUCUUCUCUGCAACCUAGGGUUUCAAUCUCCUUCUCGUCAAGGUAAGCUCUAAACUUGCAGUCAAUUAUUUUGUCCAAAUUUGCGUAUAAGUUGUUGAAGGAAUGACUGAAAAUUAUCUUAUUUUUUCAUACGGAGUAUAACAUGCUGUCCAAAUUUGGAUUGAAGUUGUUGAAAGAAUCUCUUAAAAUUAUGUUUGUGUUUAUACCAAGUAUAGUGUGCUGCCAAAUUUGUAUUUUAGUUGUUGAAGGAAUGUCUAAAUCAGCCCGUUAGAGCCUUAUUCAUGAGAGGAUUUACAGGAAAUCAUUGGAAAUUUCUUUAAUCCUUGUUCCAUAAAUUCAUUAGAGCUGAUUCUAAAGCAUCUCUACGGAGUUAUUGAAGGGUGCUUUAUAAGAAUUAAUUAUUUUUGUGGUUUGAAAUUGGGCAUUUUUUUAUGUUAUCGUCUCUCUCUAUGUUUUUCAAAUACUGGGUUGCAUCUUAUAAUUGCAUAUGCUCCAAACUUAUAAUUACAUGUAGGUUUUAUGACAUUGCUGAUGAAUUCGCAGAAGUUGGUUCUUUAUUUUCAUUGAAUAUUGCCUCGUUAUAGGUCAAUUAUGUGUCUUCGUCUUGUAGAGCAGAUUAUUUUUUGGAAUUGGGUUUGAUUGCAUAUUAUUAUUGGAACAAAAGGUUUCUCACUAUCUGUUCGUGAUUGUAUUGUAAACUUUUCGUGUGAAAUAAGAAUUCGCUAACUUUAUCCUUAAUUAAACUUUCUGAGUACAUUGGGAAGAAAUACGUGAUUCUCUUUUUCUACCCACUAGACUUCACAUUUGUUUGCCUGACAGGUUAGCUUGUAUCCUAAAAUCACCCAACUGCUACUUUCACUUUCUUAUAAUGAAGUUGAACUGAUUACGGUUGUUUCUUAAUGUAUUUUUUCGCUAUUAUCAAUUCAUGCUACUGUAGAGAUCACUGCUUUCAGUUAUCGUUAUGAAGAAUUUCAGAAGGUGAACACGCCUGCAAUAAGAUCAUUUAUAUUAGCUCCACCUUACCAAAGCAAUCAAAUCAUGAUUUGGGGCGGUAUUCCAAUUCUUUGCUGAGAUCAUGAUUUCAUUAUUUAAAUUAGUUUCCUAUAGUUAUAUUUAUAGUAUGUAAUUAUUUUGGCUCGAUUCGAGUCGUUCGGAGUCGGAAAAUCGAGAGAAAGGUCUUCUAGUUGAUUGAUUUAGCGUGGUUUGAGGUAAGUGACUUGUCUAACCUUGUGUAGGAGAAAUUCCCCUUUGGAUUUGGUACUGUUGUGAUAAUUUUUGAUAUGUGAAGGCCGUGUACUCAACAUGGCGAGUGCGUACACGGGCUAAAUAUUGAGAUUCCACUUUUAGCUACGUAGUUUCAUUUUUUCAUGCCUUAAUUGAAUCACUUUAGCAUGUUAUAGUCACCAUGUUUAGCCUAAUUUCACAUGUCUACUUGUCUUAUCUCCUAUUUGCAACUUGUACUACAUGUUUAGUUGAAUUACUUACUUUUUUAAUUCCGUAUUCAUUAUUUAAAUGUGGAAAUUCCUUACUUGAAAUUUGCUAUCCUUGAAAUAUCUUGGUGUUGAGUUGCAAGGGUCGUGGUUUCUAUUGAGGCAAGGUGUAAGUUGUGAAGUGUCAUUUUAUUUUGUUGUUACGUUUUGGCUUCCGUGUUAUUGUUGAGGUGAUUGUUUGGUUGUGUGCAUGAGGUUUCUACCCUGUUGUUGUUAUUGUUUGUACGAGAUUUCUAUCGUGCGGUUGUUACUAUUUGCACAAGGUUUCUGUCGUGCCGCUGUGAUUAUUGAUACGCAUGCAGUGGUAUAAGGUCUAGGUGUUAAAACGCAUGCGGUGAGAUAAGGUGGGCUUGAUACGCGUGGCUAGUAGGGGAACGACUAGAAGCCAUGCGGUGUGAUAUGGUGGGCUAAAACGCGGGGUGCUAUUUCGGAUAAAUGAUUUUCAAAACUAAAUGUAAAGGCUCUCGCGGUGAUAUAAGGAAAGACUGUGAUUUAUUUUUAUGAUUUGGGACUACGAGUCGGUACCUUGGGAAUGCCCCUGUUAAUUUUCUCUAUUUGCUAUAUUGUUUGGGUGUUUUUUCCUUAACAUGUAAAAUCCUUGUUUUCCUUUCGUGAUUUUAUUAGCUUCCUUGAUUUCCGUGAUCUUACUUUCUAUAAUUUCUUUAUUGUUUCCCUUUUUUGUUAUUUCAGUAUAUCAUUAUAUUUUCUGUCUUCUUAUUAUCUCUAGUAGGGCGUCGACCUGACCUCGUCACUACUCUACCGAGGUUAGGCUUGACACUUACUGAGUACCGUUGUGGUAUACUCAUACUACGCUUCUGCACAUGUUUUGUACAGAUUCAGGGACAUCUUAUCAGCCUCGGUAUUAGCGCGUUGAGUUGCUUUCUUUGGAGACUUCAAAGUACACCUUCCCGCGUUCGCAGGCCUCGGAGUCCCCUUCUACCCUAUUCAUUUCUUAUUUCUUUACAUCUUUAAGGACAGUGAUGUAUAAGAGUAUUCAGUACUAUAUCUAGAGCUUAUUACUUAUAUUUUCACCGGGUUUUGGGAGAUGUACAUGUUGAGUUGCAGAUUUUAUUUCAUAUAGUUAUUGAUAUUUUUGAGAUUUAAAUCA
rnacentral:lncRNA from 1 species